AGUGAACGCUGGCGGCGUGCCUAAUACAUGCAAGUCGAACGGAGUGGCGCACGGGGGAGUAAUAUAUAGCUAAUAUGCCCCUUGCGGGGGGACAAACGUUAGAAAUGACUGCUAAUACCCCAUAUCCAGGGAUGAGACUAUAGCGUAUCAGCGAGUCGGUGGGGUAACGGCCUACCGAGGCUAGGACGCGUAACUGGUGUGAGAGGAGGAUCAGUCACCUUGUAACUGAGACACGGGCCAAGCUCCUACGGCAGGCAGCAGUAGCGAAUAGUGCGCAAUGGGCGAAUCCCUGACGCACCUACGCCGCGUGGAGGAUUACACUUUUCGGAGCGUAAACUCCUUUUGUUAGCGAAGCGUUACCUAACGAAUAAGCACCGGCUAACUCCGUGCCAGCCGCCGCGGUAAUAC
rnacentral:rRNA from 1 species